rnacentral:rRNA from 1 species
CUACGGGAGGCAGCAGUGGGGAAUUUUGGACAAUGGGCGAAAGCCUGAUCCAGCCAUGCCGCGUGAGUGAAGAAGGCCUUCGGGUUGUAAAGCUCUUUCAGUCGGAAAGAAAGGGUCGUGACUAAUAAUCACGAUUGAUGACGGUACCGACAGAAGAAGCACCGGCUAACUACGUGCCAGCAGCCGCGGUAAUACGUAGGGUGCGAGCGUUAAUCGGAAUUACUGGGCGUAAAGGGUGCGCAGGCGGUUUUGUAAGUCAGAUGUGAAAUCCCCGGGCUUAACCUGGGAAUUGCGUUUGAAACUGCAAGACUAGAGUGCAGCAGAGGGGAGUGGAAUUCCACGUGUAGCAGUGAAAUGCGUAGAGAUGUGGAAGAACACCGAUGGCGAAGGCAGCUCCCUGGGUUGACACUGACGCUCAUGCACGAAAGCGUGGGGAGCAAACAGGAUUAGAUACCCCGGUAGA